AAUGGGGUGGUUAGGUUUUUGUGUUUUUUAAAAGUUUUUAUUUUUAAAAAUAAAGUGGUGCUAGGUGGUGUAAGCUUUCCCCAAGGCUUACAGCUCUGUUACAAGGCUCUUCGCACAAGCCCUAGGCAAGGCUUGUGCAUAAAUCGGGCAGGGUUCCGAUGGGCCAGAGACAAGCCUUGGGCAAGGCUUGUAUAUAAGUCUAGUAAGGUUUUGAUGGGUCAGAGACAAGCCUUGGGCAAGGUUUGUGUGGCACUUCCAGGAC
rnacentral:lncRNA from 1 species